rnacentral:rRNA from 1 species
GACGAACGCUGGCGGCGUGCUUAACACAUGCAAGUCGAACGGAAAGGCCCCAGCUUGCUGGGGUACUCGAGUGGCGCACGGGUGAGUAACACGUGGGUGAUCUGCCCUGCACUCUGGGAUAAGCCUGGGAAACUGGGUCUAAUACCGGAUAGGACCGUGCUUUAGUGUGUGCGGUGGAAAGUUUUUCGGUGCAGGAUGAGCCCGCGGCCUAUCGGCUUGUUGGUGGGGUAAUGGCCUACCAAGGCGGCGACGGGUAGCCGGCCUGAGAGGGUGUACGGGCACAUGGGGACUGAGAGACGGCCCAGACUCCUACAGGAGGCAGUAGUGGAGAGUAUUGCACAAUAGUCGCAAGCCUGUGGCGGCGGUGCCGCGUGGGGGAUGACCGCCUUCUGGUUAUAAACCCCUGUCGGCAGAGACGAAGCUGUUGUGACGGUACCUGCAUAAGAAGCACCGGCUAACUACGUG